rnacentral:lncRNA from 10 species
GGGCUUUGGCGCCAGAGGGCUGCCCCUCGGCCGGUGACCGAGUUAAGCACCGAGCUGUAAAUCGCUUGAGACCUGUAUUUGGUUGUUUUGUUGGUUUUGCCAAGUAAGGUCACUUGAGGAUUUCUUGGCUCGAGGUCCCAGGUUGCGCAGACUCUGACUGCAUCGAGUUGAGAAUUUUGGUCAGAAUGUUAAAGUGGAAACCUACCCCAGGCUGUCAUGACUUUUGCAUUCUGGUAACCAACUGAUCCUACCCGGACCCAUGAUGCAUAACUCAGCUGGUCCUGUGGCGCACACCCAGAGGCCGACUCAAUGCAUGAAGACUGUUUUCCACACCCCUAUGAUUUCAUCCCCAACCAAGCAGCAGCAUCCAUUCCCUAGCCCCCUGCCCACCAAAUUAUCCAUAAAAACUCUGGCUUCUGAGUUCUCAGCAAAACUGAUUUUAGUAAUAACUCCAGUUCUUCCACUUGGCUGGCCUUAGUUAAUUAAACUUAUUCUUUACUAUAGUACCGUGUUCCCAGUGAAUUGGUUUUGUCUGUGUAGCAGGCAGGACAACCCAUCAGGCAAUCACACAGUUACUCUGCAGUGCUUCUUUUUAUUUUGCUUUUCAAACAAAUUUCAAAUAUUAUUAGAUUGAAAUAAACUAUACAAAUAGCUUUUCCUCACAAAAAUGCAAUAUUUUGUGUAUUAUUCCUAGGUAAACUACAAAACUUUUAUUUUUGGAAGUUUUUUUUUGCAAAAAUAAAUCAAGAUGCUUAUGCAUAUAAAUCAAGAUGAGGCAAUGAAAAAAAACCAAAGAAUAACCAAAGAGAGACAAAUCAGUUGUCAGUGUCUGUGAACUCAUGUUCUGUCUUGCUUGUAAAACAGAGGGUUCAUGUGUGGUCCGCUAAAAAGCUGAUGGCCCAGUUAGGGUAGAGAUACAACAAAGGGGUGCAAGCCCCAGCAACACAUGUGGGGCAACAGUGAGGCAUCCCUCCAUUCAAACUGUAACUGUAACUCCUUCCUUUCUUCCUUCCUCCCUCCCUCCCCCUUCCCCCUCCAUCCCUCCACACUUCCCCCUUCCCUUUCGCCUCCCCUCCCCUCCCCUCCACUCCCCUCCCCUCCUUCCUUUCUCUUUCUUUAUUUUUUUUUUAAGAGAUGGGGUCCCACUAUAUUGACCAGGCUGGUCUGUAACUCCGGGCCUCAAGGGAUCUUCCCAACUCCACCUCUCAAAGUGCUGGAUUACAGCCUGAGCCACUGGACCUGGCUACUGUCCAUUCUUUGAUGAAGACAAAGUUUACCCUGAAAUCCUGUUCAGAUGUGGGAAGACCUCUAAGCAGGAAGAGACACAGGUAACUGUAAAUACAGGACUGAAGAAAACAGAUUAACCUGCUCAAGCUAAUUUCAGAAGGUUUAUACACCCAAGAAAAGUCAUUCAAACAAGCCUUAAGGUUAUUCAUAUACUACUCAAAUGUGGAAUCCCUAUUUCCUUUAAACGUGUAAUACAAUUAUAUUUUCUUUAAUAUUAAUUUUGCUUCCUCCUUAGAAGGAAACCUACUUAUCUGUAAAUUACAUUUCAAAUCUAAUUAUCCUGUCAAUUUGCAGAUGGCUUAAUAAAGAAAAACAAUUGCAUGCCAGAUUUAAUCUGACUCUUUGGAUCUUUUGUAAUUUCAGUUAAGAUAUUACAUAGAGUGGUUACAAUAGCACAAUACUGGAAUAAAACAAAUGAAGGAUCUUUUUUUUAGUGGAAGAGGAAAAUAUAAGACACAAUGAAAACAACCCAGCUUAAAAGCCCUCAAAAUUAAGGUUACAGGAAAAAGGGAAAAUCAGGUGAAAUGUAUAGGUAUUUAAUUAGUCUUUGGAGUGGUAUAAAAGCUUAUUCUUUUUAAAAGUUGUAACAAACAUUGGCAACACUCCACUCUAUCUCACUGCUAUUCUUGCUUUAUCAGAAAGCUAUCUUUGAAACCUCUUGGCUAGGAAGGUGACAAUUCCUCUAGGUUUCCAUUAUAACUUCAUGCCUAAUGUCAUAUUUACAGCACUGCAUUAUGACUAUUAUUAAUACUAUUAUUGUAAAAGCCUCCUUAUUAGUCUUUCUAGUUCUGCCCUUGUCCUACUGUAGUUUCAACACUAUAGUCAAAACAACGUUGUGUCUGAUCACGUGAAUACCCUGGUCAAAAUCCUCCACUGUCUUCUCAUUUCACGUGGAGUAAAAGCCACAGUAUGGCCUAUUAUGCCUUACGUCACUCCAUACCACCUAUAGGCCCCUUAGGAUUAACUAUCCGACCUUAUCAACUCUUCCCUUUGCUCUCUCCAUCCAGUCAUAUUGGCUCCUUUAUGUUCAUCAGAUUUAAUAGGCAUGUUCCUGCCUCAGCGUAUCUUCUUGGAACACUCUUCUCUCCAUAGUCAUCUCCUCUGGGCCAUGCUGAAAUGUCAGCUGAGUGCCCCAAAUGAAAUAACACUCAGUGCCCUCCCCCUCCACUCCCUAUUUCUUUUAUCCAAUUUUGUUUUUUCUCCAUUACACUUAUAUCUGACAAUAUAUUGUCAUGUUUACUUGCUUAUAGUGUCUUCUUUUCCACCAGAAUGUAAGUAAGCUCCAUGGAGGCAAGGGACUUUUUGUUCAGUGCUAUAUCCUGAGUGCCUGGCACAGAAUUCAAUGAAUACUUAUCAGAUAAAUGAAUAAUCUGUUCAAGUGUAGUUCAUACUGAAAAGAUUUGGAAUCUUGAGAUCUCUGGAACAUAAUAUAUACUGAAUAAAUAUUUAUGAAUUAAAAGGUAAAGAUGGCCAAAUCUUACACUGAAAAUACAUAAAAAUUAAAAAAGGGUAAAAAUAUGCAUCCACACAUUAAUAUCUUGGUACAUACCUGUUUGAAUUCUGAAUCUUUUCCCAACAUAACUUGAAGACUGUAAAUAACUGGAUCACCUUUCAUUGGCUGUAAACACUCCCAUGUAAUUUCACAAAUGUGAUCAUUUACUUUCUCUAUUUUGGGGGCUGUAGGAAACAAAUAUAAAUAAUAUCUGUUCCACUUGAUUUUUAAUUUGGUACAUCAUGCAGACACUUGUCUUAAUAAAAAUCAACAAAUAUUUAAAAUCCACUUAUAAACUUGAAAUAAGUAUCAGUGAAUUUUUGAAAUUUGCAUCCAAAGAGGUUAAAAUCAGCACUCUUGUAUUCUAAGAUAUGGGAUCUCACUCUGUCACCCAGCCUGGACAACAGUGGUGCGAUCAUAGCUCAAUGCAGCCUCAGCCUCCUGUGCAGCUACACACACAGGCAUAUGCUGCCAUGCCCAGCUGAUUCAAAAUUUCUUUUGUAGAGAGGCAGGUCUCAGUAUGUUGCCCACGUUGGUCUCAAUACUCCUGGCCUUAAGUGAGCCUCCCACUUCAGUCUCCCAAAGCACUGGGCUUAUAGGUGUGAGCCACUGUGCCCUGCUUAUAGUCAGCACUCUUCUUAAAGCUAAGAGACACUAAACUUGAUGAGCAAACAGAAAAAUGACUCAGUGAAACUCAAUAUUAUUAGAAAGACUAGUCAAGAAGAGUUCUGCUGUUUAACAAAUGAUAGGUUUAAGUACAUGAUCUAGGAUAUGGUUCUAGAAGUCUCUGU